rnacentral:rRNA from 1 species
AUUGAACGCUGGCGGCAUGCCUUACACAUGCAAGUCGAACGGUAACGCGGGGCAACCUGGCGACGAGUGGCGAACGGGUGAGUAAUGUAUCGGAACGUGCCCAGUUGUGGGGGAUAAAUGCUCGAAAGAGCAGCUAAUACCGCAUACGACCUGAGGGGGAAAGCGGGGGACUGCAAGACCUCGCGCAAUUGGAGCGGCAGAUAUCAGAUUAGGUAGUUGGUGGGGUAAAGGCCCACCAAGCCAACGAUCUGUAGAUGGUCUGAGAGGACGACCAGCCUCACUGGGACUGAGACACGGCCCAGACUCCUACGGGAGGCAGCAGUGGGGAAUUUUGGACAAUGGACGCAAGUCUGAUCCAGCCAUGCCGCGUGCGGGAAGAAGGCCUUCGGGUUGUAAACCGCUUUUGUCAGGGAAGAAACGCUCUGGGUUAAUACCUCGGGGUAAUGACGGUACCUGAAGAAUAAGCACCGGCUAACUACGUGCCAGCAGCCGCCGUAAGAC